rnacentral:rRNA from 1 species
GACGAACGCUGGCGGCGUGCUUAACACAUGCAAGUCGAACGGAAAGGCCCUGCUUUUGUGGGGUGCUCGAGUGGCGAACGGGUGAGUAACACGUGAGUAACCUGCCCUUGACUUUGGGAUAACUUCAGGAAACUGGGGCUAAUACCGGAUAGGAGCUCCUGCUGCAUGGUGGGGGUUGGAAAGUUUCGGCGGUUGGGGAUGGACUCGCGGCUUAUCAGCUUGUUGGUGGGGUAGUGGCUUACCAAGGCUUUGACGGGUAGCCGGCCUGAGAGGGUGACCGGCAACAUGGGGACUGGGAUACGGCCCAGACUCCUAGGGGGGGCAGAGGGGGGGAAAAUUGCACAAGGGGCGGAAGCUGGAGGCAGAAACGCCGGGGGGGGGUGGACGGCCUUCGGGUUGUAAACCGUUUUCGCCUGGGACGAAGGGGGAGUGACGGGAAUGGGGAAAAAAGCACCGGCUAACUACGG